UGGGGCCCCGGGCCACACCAUCAGGAAGUGAAGUGUCAUGGCUGAGCCAGGCAGCUCCACCAGCUCUCUGGGUGCCUCUCCCUCUUCCGUAAGGCGGACAGGCCAGACCUGUGAAGCCGUCGUGAACUUGGAGGGAAAGUCCGUGUCAGAUCUGCUCCUUUCCCCAGAGGGCCGGCAAGACCCCGCACACUCUGGCCCUGCUCUCCCUGACAUAACGGUCCCCAGACCAGGCGGGAGGAGCAAGCCCAGACCCCAAGAUCCCGCAGCUGCGCACCUUGGGCUUAGCCUCCUCACCCGUUUCUGCAGGCGCCCUGGCUUCCCCAGAGGUGUUACUAGUUUGAACAAACCUCCCUCUUCAGAUGCUUUGUCUUAUGCUGCUCUGAAGCUUUUGCUGCUGGACACUGGCCUGAGUGCAGCCUCCUGGAGAUGGUUCCCUUGUGAAAAGAUGUUAUCUUGGGACCAGAGGAUUCUAAUGUGUCAGUUCUUCAAGCAUCUUGUACAUCAGACAGUCAGCCCUUCUCCUGUCAUGUUUCCCAUUGGAGACGAAGAGAUGUACCCCUGAUCCCCGCGUGAUGACUUCUCUUCCGAAAGGCUGCCUCUACCCCUUUGCUUGGGUUUUCUGAGAACUGCGAGAGUAUCUUUUGUGUGUGUGUGUUUGUAUUUUUUUAAGUAUAGUUGAUCGACGAUGUGGUGCCAGUGUCUGCUCUACAGCAAGCUGACCCAGUCAUAUGUAUACACACAUUCUUUCUCUCGUGUCACCCCCAUCACCGUCUGUCCCGAGAGACUGGGUACAGUUCCCUGUGCUUAUGGCAGGACUUCAUUCCCCAUCCAUUCUAAAUGUAACAGUUUGCAUCUACUAACCUCAAACUCCCAGUCCAUCCCACUAUGUGUGAGCACCUUGAAUGCCACUAGAAUUCACAUCUUCUUACACAAGCUGACACCCGAGUCCCUGUGAGAACUCCACCGAUCAUCCCUCAAGCUCCAAAGGGGCUUCAAGAUGCCCCUGAAUGUCAGGGAAGGGACCCCAGGGCCCAGCACAGAGAUGUGGGCAGCAGGCAGUCUUCUGAUGGGCUGAAGCUUGGUGCUCAGCGUGCCAUCUCUUGGGCCACCCUGACUCCCGUGCAUUGCACUCAUUCCCAUAGAUGGGCAAAGGCUGAGGCCAGUCAGGGCUGAGGAAGGUCAAGCAGCACUUUGGGAAGAUGGGCCCUACUGGGCCAACCUGUGGCGAAGGGGUGUGGAGGGUUCGCUUCUUAACCGGCAAGAUCCUCUCUGUAACUAACGAAAUGCAACAAUGUAUUAAAAACAAUACAGCAUGACCAAAGGAGCUUUGAAACACAAAUGCAGGGAUGGUUCAAUAGAUUAAAGAAAUUUCAAAACCUAGGAGUUCCUGUUGUGGUUCAGAGGUAAUGAAACCUCCUCGUAUCCGUGAGCACAUGGAUUCAAACCCUGGCCUCG
rnacentral:lncRNA from 1 species